rnacentral:rRNA from 1 species
UGUUGGGAUACUACCCUUGUUUGAAGGAUGCUCUAACCUCGACCUGUAAGCCAGGCCAGGGACAGUGUCAGGUGGGCAGUUUGACUGGGGCGGUCGCCUCCUAAAGUGUAACGGAGGCGCUCAAAGGUUCCCUCAGAAUGGUUGGAAAUCAUUCGCAGAGGGUAAAGGGAUAAGGGAGCUUGACUGCGAGAGAGACAACUCGAGCAGGUAGGAAACUAGGACUUAGUGAU